rnacentral:rRNA from 1 species
CACGUAGGCGGCUUUCUAAGUCAGGGGUGAAAUCCUGGAGCUCAACUCCAGAACUGCCUUUGAUACUGGAGAGCUUGAGUCCGGGAGAGGUGAGUGGAACUCCGAGUGUAGAGGUGAAAUUCGUAGAUAUUCGGAAGAACACCAGUGGCGAAGGCGGCUCACUGGCCCGGUACUGACGCUGAUGUGCGAAAGCGUGGGGAGCAAACA